rnacentral:rRNA from 1 species
GGGGGGCUAUAAUGGCAGUUCGACGGGGAAUGCAUUUUCGAGGUGAUUAGUUUACUAAGAGCCAAGAUGUUGGCAUCUUAGUGGCGGACGGGUGAGUAACGCGUGGGUAACCUGCCUUAUACAGGGGGAUAACACUUAGAAAUAGGUGCUAAUACCGCAUAAGCGCACGGGGCUGCAUGGCCCAGUGUGAAAAACUCCGGUGGUAUAAGAUGGACCCGCGUCUGAUUAGCUUGUUGGCGGGGUAACGGCCCACCAAGGCGACGAUCAGUAGCCGGCCUGAGAGGGUGGACGGCCACAUUGGGACUGAGACACGGCCCAAACUCCUACGGGAGGCAGCAGUGGGGAAUAUUGGACAAUGGGGGGAACCCUGAUCCAGCGACGCCGCGUGAGUGAAGAAGUAUUUCGGUAUGUAAAGCUCUAUCAGCAGGGAAGAAAGAAAUGACGGUACCUGACUAAGAAGCCCCGGCUAACUACGUGCCAGCAGCCGCGGUAAUACGUAGGGGGCAAGCGUUAUCCGGAUUUACUGGGUGUAAAGGGAGCGUAGACGGUUACGCAAGUCUGGAGUGAAAGGCGGGGGCCCAACCCCCGGACUGCUUUGGAAACUGUAUAACUGGAGUGCAGGAGAGGUAAGUGGAAUUCCUAGUGUAGCGGUGAAAUGCGUAGAUAUUAGGAGGAACACCAGUGGCGAAGGCGGCUUACUGGACUGUAACUGACGUUGAGGCUCGAAAGCGUGGGGAGCAAACAGGAUUAGAUACCCUGGUAGUCCACGCCGUAAACGAUGAUUACUAGGUGUCGGGGAGUAAAGACUCUUCGGUGCCGCAGCUAACGCAAUAAGUAAUCCACCUGGGGA